rnacentral:rRNA from 1 species
UACAGAGGUCCCGAGCGUUGUUCGGAUUCACUGGGCGUAAAGGGUGCGUAGGUGGUGAGGAAAGUCGGAUGUGAAAUCUCCGAGCUCAACUCGGAAAUGGCAUUGGAAACUACCUUGCUCGAGGGUUGGAGGGGGACUGGAAUACUUGGUGUAGCAGUGAAAUGCGCAGAUAUCAGGAGGAACACCGGUGGCGAAGGCGGGUCUCUGGGUAGUAACUGACGCUGAGGAACGAAAGCGUGGGUAGCGAACAGGAUUAGAACCCUACCGUCGAGACC